CGAGGACCCCCUCAUUUUCCUUUAAUGCCUACCAUUACCCUUCGCUCACACUUUAUCACGUCAGCAAGGAUGAAGCCUUUCCACUGAAGUUCAAGUUGAUGUGACCAUAUCCAGGGACCAAUCUCACUGCUGAACUGCGGGUCUACAACUACUACCGUUCCAGAGCAAGGCGGGUGGUUGAAAAUGCCUUUGGCAUUUUGGCUGCAAGGUGCAGA